rnacentral:rRNA from 1 species
UACGUAGGGUGCGAGCGUUGUCCGGAAUUACUGGGCGUAAAGAGCUCGUAGGUGGUUUGUCGCGUUGUCCGUGAAAACUCACAACUCAAUUGUGGGCGUGCGGGCGAUACGGGCAGACUGGAGUACUGCAGGGGAGACUGGAAUUCCUGGUGUAGCGGUGGAAUGCGCAGAUAUCAGGAGGAACACCGGUGGCGAAGGCGGGUCUCUGGGACGGUACUGACGCUGAGGCGCGAAAGCGUGGGUAGCAAACAGG